AUGGCUCAGUGAGGCCUUGGGAUUGGCCAGGGGAGAUGGGCAACCAUCACCCCAGGCCGAAAACUUGGUCAAACUUGGUCAUUUAGAGGAAGUAAAAGUCGUAACAAGGUUUCUGUAGGCGCUUGCGUCUCGGAAUAAGUUAAUGCAUCCUUCUGCAGUGACACUUAUUGGAAGCCUUAAAUAACCGCCAGAAAUGGUACGGUUCCCGCGACUCUAAAGAAGCAGGAUCCUAAGGGUUAGUGGUACUGCGUUGACUUAAUUUAUUUAAGCACGCGGUGCUGCGACACUAUCAAAUUGCGGGAAGUCCCUUAGAGCCGGCAGUACCGCUCCCUCGUCGAAAUGACGGGGCAGCACCAGGUUAAUGACCUCGGGUAUGGUAACAAUCUCGCCGGAUUGGGUUACCUGCAGCCAAGUCCUCCGCAGGGGGGCGGUCGUUCACGGGCGGCCGUCUUUCGCGGUAGGAUGCAGUUCACAGGCCAAAUGGUAGUGGGUGGUCCCCUCUUGCAAGGGCGAUUGCUUAAGAUAUGGUCGGGCCCCCAGGGAAAUCCUGGGGGGUGAGUUCACAAAAGAAUUGAUAGACCCUAUAUGAGGGGACCCAAUCAAGUAACAAGAACAAAAAACGUUCCGUAGGUGAACCUGCGGAAGGAUCAUUACCGAGUUAGGGUUCUCUCCCGAGGCCCGACCUCCCAACCCUGUGUCUAACAAACCUGUAUGUGUUGCUUCGGUGGACCGGCAGUCCCCUCACGGGGGUCCGUCGCCGGGGGAGACAACGGCCUCACGGCCCGCCCCUGGAGAGUGUCCGCCGAUGGCCCCAUUAACAAACCUUCCCAAACCCAAAAUCUUGUACCUAAAACUUCUGAAUCAGACAUUUUGAUGUACCAAUCAAAAAAAACAAAACUUUCAACAACGGAUCUCUUGGUUCUGGCAUCGAUGAAGAACGCAGCGAAAUGCGAUAAGUAAUGCGAAUUGCAGAAUUUCCGUGAGUCAUCGAAUCUUUGAACGCACAUUGCGCCCUUUGGCAUUCCGAAGGGCAUGCCUGUUCGAGCGUCAUUAUCCUCUCUCAAACCUCGGGUUUGGUGUUGGACCGCGUUGGACCUCCCCAUGGCCAACUGGUCUCAAAGACAAUGACGGCGUCCCCGGGACCCUCUUCGCACUGAGCUUUCUGAAAGCACGCGUCGAGUUUCACGGGCCCAGGGACCCGGUCACCCCUAAAACUUCUUUAAGGUUGACCUCGGAUCAGGUAGGAAUACCCGCUGAACUUAAGCAUAUCAAUAAGCGGAGGAAAAGAAACCAACAGGGAUUGCCUCAGUAACGGCGAGUGAAGCGGCAACAGCUCAAAUUUGAAAUCUGGCCUCACGGUCCGAGUUGUAAUUUGUAGAGGAUGUUUUGGGCACCGCCCCGGGUUAAAUUUCUUGGAACAGAAUGUCAAAGAGGGUGAGAGUCCCGUCUUGGCCCGCGGUAGGACCUAUGUAAAACUCCUUCGACGAGUCGACUUGUUUGGGAAUGCAGGUCAAAAUGGGUGGUAAAUUUCAUCUAAAGCUAAAUAUUGGCCAGAGACCGAUAGCGCACAAGUAGAGUGAUCGAAAGAUGAAAAGCACUUUGAAAAGAGAGUUAAACAGUAUGUGAAAUUGUUGAAAGGGAAGCGCUGGCAACCAGACUCGAGCGCGGUGUUCCCCCUUGCUUCUGCCUGGGUUAUUUCACCGUGACCGGGCCAUCAUCAGUUUUGGGGGUUGGUUAAAGAUUCGGGGAAUGUAUCCUCUCUUUCGGGGGAGGACUUAUAGCCCCGGAUGUCAUGCAGCCUCCCGGGACUGAGGAACGCGCUUCGGCGAGGAUGAUGGCGUAAUGGUUGUCAGCGACCCGUCUUGAAACACGGACCAAGGAGUCUAACAUCUAUGCGAGUGUUCGGGUGUCAAACCCUUGCGCGGAAUGAAAGUGAACGGAGGUAGGAAGGCUUGAGCCUGCACUAUCGACCGAUCCUGAUGUCUUCGGAUGGAUUUGAGUAAGAGCAUAGCUGUUGGGACCCGAAAGAUGGUGAACUAUGCGUGAAUAGGGUGAAGCCAGAGGAAACUCUGGUGGAGGCUCGCAGCGGUUCUGACGUGCAAAUCGAUCGUCAAAUUUGCGUAUAGGGGCGAAAGACUAAUCGAACCAUUGGUAAUCACUACUAGGUGGUUAAGAGUCGUGUGUGAAAAGCACCGGCUAGUCGCGAGUCCGCGGCAAGGUCGUCAAAUUGCGGGAACACCCUAAAGCCUGAGGUACCGCCGACCGUCCCGAAAGGGUGGUGAGGCACCACGGAGAGAUUUCGUGGGUACGGUAACAAUCCAAGGGAUGGCCUAGGUAAAACCCUAGGCCGCUGUAAUGGGCAAUCCGCAGCCAAGCCUGUCUCUCCCUUCUGGGGGAGGGAUUGGGUGCAGUUCAUCGACUAGAUGUCGACCGGGUUCGGGGCACCAUCCAUGCCUCGAGCCUCAAGAUAUAGUCAGGCCCUCGGGGAGACCCGAGCGGAGGAACAAAGUAAAGGGGGUCGGACUCUUACUCACAGAGAAGCCCGCUUUACCCGAAUUCCUUCCCGGCCGGUCUCGUCAGACCGGUGAUCAA
rnacentral:rRNA from 1 species